AAUACGCGUUAAUUCGUCCAACCUGCUGUGCUAAAAACACCCGUGACAAAAUAUUCCUGACACGGUUAAACAAUUAAAUUGGUCAGUUUCUGCAAAAUUUGCCCUGUAUUCCCCAGUUGUAAUCAGUCUUAAGAAACUGAUAUUUGCAGGUUAACACCUAAGUUUUUUUUCAAGAAAAACACGUUUUCUCUCAUUUUACAUAAAAUAAAAUAGUUGACUUUUUCCGCGUUGUCAGUCACAAGUUCUGUAUUCAAUCAUCUCACCUGAAGUUAAAAAUACUAACUAUUUUAGAACUUCUUUUUUCAUAUUGAUAAAUAUUCAAUCCAGAUUUGAGUGGUCAAAUUUUCACCAUUAAUCAGUGCUAAUUGUGAUCGCAUUUUAAAUUAGAGUAUUUGGUUGUUUGUCAAUCCCGCCUCGCUUCCCCGUAAUGAUAUGCACUUGUUUUCCCGUCCAUUUUGGAGAGUCGAAUUGAACCAAAUCUUUAAGAUAGCUGAGACCAAAGUUUGUCCUUCAUUUUACCCUAAUUUCCACAUCGUCAGGUCGUGAAAUUACGGAAAGGAGAAACACAUUGUUUUGCUAUUUAAAUCAACAUCAGAUUUCAAACAGCCUAAUCUAAAUACUAGCAGAAAUGGUCAGUUGCGAAGGCAGACCCCAGAUUAGCAUCAAUCUAUUGUUGUUCGCUCUCGCGAUUUCGAUCAUCUCGACCUUGGCGGCUAUACACCCCGAGAAGCGAGCAAGCAUGAGGGUUCAUCGAACUCGUGGAGAUCCACAGGGCUCUUUUGUCGACUCACUCGGCAAACGAUCGGCUCUCUUCCCGUCCAGAACGUUUAAUUCAGUUCAACCCGCAGAGUUACCGAGCCCGAACGAAAACUUCGUCGAAUGGCGAGCGUUGAGAGAUUACGCCAAUGAAGUUCCGAGCGUAAUUGAAGAGUUUUCUAAUAGAGAAAUCUCAAAUGAGGACUUUGCAAGCGAACGACAGAGAAAAGAACAGCUUCCAGCGGUGUUAUAUUUUUUGUCCCGAGCCAACUCUAAAAUCAAAGAGCACGAUUCUUCACGAGUAAGAAGCCCAUUUUAUGACUAUUGAAAAAAAAAAGAAGUAAAUUGAGUCUCAAAUCUUCAAAGUCGUGGUACAUUUCUUGGAUGUAAUAAGAUUCUAUUAUUGGCAGCUUAAUAUUAUUUACAUACAAUUUAAAAUAACAUCUUCAAA